rnacentral:misc_RNA from 1 species
GAUGAAGAACGUAGCGAAAUGCGAUAAGUAAUGCGAAUUGCAGAAUUUCCGUGAGUCAUCGAAUCUUUGAACGCACAUUGCGCCCCCUGGUAUUCCGGGGGGCAUGCCUGUCCGAGCGUCAUUGCCGCCCUCAAGCACGGCUUGUGUGUUGGGCCCCCGCCCCCCGGCUUCGGGGGGCGGGCCCGAAAGGCAGCGGCGGCACCGCGUCCGGUCCUCGAGCGUAUGGGGCUUCGUCACCCGCUCUGUAGGCCCGGCCGGCGCCCGCCGGCGACCCCAAUCAAUCUUUCCAGGUUGACCUCGGAUCAGGUAGGGAUACCCGCUGAACUUAAGCAUAUCAAUAAGCGGAGGA